UGAUUCCAUCUGUCCUCAUCUGGGACUGGACUUGCUAUAAAAGAAUCAUAUUAGGAGGCAAAGCGGAACAAGUUUAGUUAAAUAAAGAUGUCUGUCUACAAGAAUGCUGCUACAUGUGCUCUGUUAAUUCUGGUUAUCUUUGCACUGUGCAUGAAUUCGAGGUGUGGAUAUGGUGAAGCAACAAGAAUCUUCUUAGACUUCUCUUCAGUUCCAGUGACGGAAAGGUUGGGCGGCCUAGACAGCAGCCACCGCCGGAGCAUCAGGGCAUCGCCCGGAGGGAGCUAUCCUGCCCCGGCAGCUAAUGUAAACGACCAUGUACAUCACUAGCUACUGCUUGAUGUCAUAGUAUGUUGGAUUAUCUAUAUAACUGGAUCAAGAUUUAGGUGACCUCUAUUUUGUUGUGGACUUCUCACUUAUAAUAAGAAGACUUUGUUUUGUCUGUGUU